AACUCCUCGAAUCAGGUAGGGAUACCCGCUGAACUUAAGCAUAUCAAUAAGCGGAGGNNNNNNNNNNNNNNNNNNNNNNNNNNNNNACGGCGAGUGAAGCGGCAGGAGCUCAAAUUUGAAAUCUGGGGCCCCCGGCCUCCGAGUUGUAAUUUGGAGAGGCUCCUUCGGGGGGGAGCGCUGGCCCAUGUUCCUUGGAACAGGACGUCGCAGAGGGUGAGAAUCCCGUGCCAGGCCGGCCGCCUCCUCCCACGUGAAGGGCCUUCGACGAGUCGAGUUGUUUGGGAAUGCAGCUCCAAUCGGGUGGUAAAUUUCAUCUAAAGCUAAAUACCGGCGGGAGACCGAUAGCGCACAAGUAGAGUGAUCGAAAGAUGAAAAGCACUUUGAAAAUAGAGUCAAAAAGUACGUGAAAUUGUUGAAAGGGAAGCGCUUGAGACCAGACUCWGACCCAGGCAAACACCGCGCCCCCAGGGGCCGUGCAAUUGCCCGGUGCUGGGCCAGCAUCAGUUGGCGUGGCGGGACAAGGGCGCGGGAAAUGUGGCUCCCCUCGGGGAGUGUUAUCAGGCCCGCGCCGGAUGCCGCCGACGCCGACUGAGGACCGCGCCUCGGCUAGGAUGCUGGCUUAAUGGCCUUCAGCGACCCGUCUUGAAACACGGACCAAGGAGUCUAACAUCUAUGCGAGUGUUUGGGCGCCAAACCCUUGCGCGGAAUGAAAGUGAGCGGAGGUGGGAACCC
rnacentral:rRNA from 1 species